rnacentral:misc_RNA from 1 species
UUUCCCAGAAUGAAUCAGUAGAAAAUGUUAAAGUUCCUGUUCGCAACUAUGAAAGAAUUGUGGGAAAACCUAAUUGAAAUAGAGAUUCUACAUUAACUGAACGUGAGAAGAUCCUGCUGAGUCAUUUGACUCAAACUAAAUUAAGCUUAAAGCGUUUGGCAGUCGAAAUGCGAACUGUGAGGAAGACACUUAUAAAUUGUUUGUAGCUUAUAACGAUAUUAGCGGGGUCCGCACUGACAUGCCUAAUAUAAAUAAUAAUGAUGACAUUCAAGUUGUUGAUGAGAUAGUUUAUCCUGUUUUGUCUUUGCCCAAUGAAAUAGAUUUCUUUUUAUAUGAAAAUGAUUUAUGUAACUUUUUGGAGCAGCCAGUAGUAUAU